GGGCGUAAAGAGCUCGUAGGCGGUUUGUCGCGUCUGCUGUGAAAUCCCGAGGCUCAACCUCGGGCCGCAGUGGGUACGGGCAGACUAGAGUGCGGUAGGGGAGAUUGGAAUUCCUGGUGUAGCGGUGGAAUGCGCAGAUAUCAGGAGGAACACCGAUGGCGAAGGCAGAUCUCUGGGCCGUAACUGACGCUGAGGAGCGAAAGGGUGGGGAGCAAACAGGCUUAGAUACCCUGGUAGUCCACCCCGUAAACGUUGGGAACUAGUUGUGGGGUCCAUUCCACGGAUUCCGUGACGCAGCUAACGCAUUAAGUUCCCCGCCUGGGGAGUACGGCCGCAAGGCUAAAACUCAAAGGAAUUGACGGGGACCCGCACAAGCGGCGGAGCAUGCGGAUUAAUUCGAUGCAACGCGAAGAACCUUACCAAGGCUUGACAUAUACGAGAACGGGCCAGAAAUGGUCAACUCUUUGGACACUCGUAAACAGGUGGUGCAUGGUUGUCGUCAGCUCGUGUCGUGAGAUGUUGGGUUAAGUCCCGCAACGAGCGCAACCCUCGUUCUAUGUUGCCAGCACGUAAUGGUGGGAACUCAUGGGAUACUGCCGGGGUCAACUCGGAGGAAGGUGGGGAUGACGUCAAAUCAUCAUGCCCCUUAUGUCUUGGGCUUCACGCAUGCUACAAUGGCCGGUACAAAGGGCUGCAAUACCGUGAGGUGGAGCGAAUCCCAAAAAGCCGGUCCCAGUUCGGAUUGAGGUCUGCAACUCGACCUCAUGAAGUCGGAGUCGC
rnacentral:rRNA from 1 species